rnacentral:rRNA from 1 species
GAUGAACGCUAGCGGGAGGCUUAACACAUGCAAGUCGAGGGGCAGCAUAGGGUAGCAAUACUCUGAUGGCGACCGGCAAACGGGUGAGUAACGCGUAUGCAACCUACCCUGUACAGGGGGAUAACCCGGAGAAAUUCGGACUAAUAUCCCGUAAUAAUAUCCGGAGGCAUCUUUGGAUAUUUAAAGUUCCGACGGUACGGGAUGGGCAUGCGUAACAUUAGCUGGUUGGUAAGGUAACGGCUUACCAAGGCUAUGAUGUUUAGGGGUCCUGAGAGGGUGGUCCCCCACACUGGUACUGAGACACGGACCAGACUCCUACGGGAGGCAGCAGUGAGGAAUAUUGCACAAUGGACGGAAGUCUGAUGCAGCAACGCCGCGUGGAGGAUGACACAUUUUCGGUGCGUAAAACUCCUUUUAUAUGAGAAGAUAAUGACGGUAUCAUAUGAAUAAGCACCGGCUAACUCCGUGCCAGCAGCCGCGGUAAUACGCACUCGU